AAUUUUUUGUUUCCUCGGAAUUUCCUCAGAAUUUCCUCGGAAAUUCCUCGGGAUAUUCCGAGGAUUUCAUUUUCCGUCGGAAUGUCCGUCAGAAUACCGAUGUUUUCUUGUAGUGAUGUUUACGGUUUUGAUUGUAGUUUUGGGUUGAGUUGAUUGUGAGUUUUAUGGGCUAUUUUACAUGUAUAAUAGUUUGAUUGUAGUUUUGGGUUGAGUUGACUGUGAGUUUUAUGAAUUUAAACAAAACAUCUUAAUGUUGAGUAUCUUUAUGUCUCUCGUAAGCUUUUGGAAGUGAGUCAAUCGGGAAUAUUUUCAUAACCGUUUUUUCCUUAAUUUUCAGAUUUUGUUUAAAAAUCUUGUAGAACAUACAUUCUACCAAUGUUAGAAAAGAGAUGAACACGUAGAUAGGGAAUAUUGUGUUUAUAGAUAAAAGAAGAUAUCGUAGAAUGUAUGUUCUCUCAAGGCAGAUAUAAGAAUAUUUAGUAUGUCCUAUGAUCUACCAAAAAUACAGAACAUAGAAGGAACUGUAUAUUUCUUUUUCUUCCACACUAGAUGUAUAUGUUUCUGGUGUAUUAUGCAUUCUUUGUUGGUACAUCAUUGUGUUCGCAGUGUAUAACGCACUCUACGGAUGGUAGAUCAAUGUGUCUUACCUAGAUUGCAUUUUCUAAAUCUCAGUAGAUGGUAGAUCUGACAAUCUAACUCUUUUAUCCCAUUUUUGAACUUAAUAUUCCAACAUUUUUUUGAAUCCAAAAAUAUUUUUCAUAUAUGCACAUACUUAACUACUGCGUGUUUUAUAUUUUUUUAAAAAAAUUGCAUUGUAAAUAUAAUGAUAUGAAUUUUUAUUAACAAAAAGGGUAUGAAAGUCAAAAAGUGGAAAAAAUUGAGUUUGUACUAAAGGGACAAUAGUUUAGUUAAUUUGUUCUCUUUUUCCAAAUUUCCCAAAUAUAAAUAAGGAAUCGAUUAGCAAAGAAUAAUGAAGAGAAAAGAGUCCGCUGGAUAUGUGAAAUCACCUUCGCCACUUAAACUAACAACCGAUUUCACACAUUGAGCUAAAUCCUCAGAGCCUGCAUCAACCAAUAUCUUUUCAGAACAAAUAUGUAACGGUAAAGUCUAUAGCUUAAUAUCACAAUUUUGUCGGUUUUGGAAAGAAAAAAACAAGUACAUAUUAGUUAUGUUUUUCAAAAUUAAAAAAAUUUCCACUGCCCGGAAUCGAACCCGGAUUUCAAGAGAGAGAGGUGACCAAAUCUUAAUCUUCUUUUUGAAAUUAUCCUUUGUGCUACAGCAGAUCUUGUUGUUUGGUAUGAAAAUUAAAUGUAUUUAUUUAAUAGUCUUUUUGAAAGCUAGAUCAUUAGAGCAGGCACAUUAGAGGAUGUAAUGGGGUUCAUGGGCUCAAGUUCCUAGGCCCGAAUUGAUUUAAAAAAAUGAAAAAUGACUUUAAUUCAUUGAACCGAUCCUUAGUAGUGAACUCGUAUGAAGCGGUUCAGACCACGUGUCAAUCAUUCACUGCCUUCUCUUUCCUUCUCCACAUCCUCUCCUCGUCUCUUACAGAAGUUGGAGUUCGGUAAUAAGUAUAGCUUUAGCUUCCUCCACUCUCUCUCCAUCUCUUUCCAUUGUUCGUCCCCUUCUCACCUCUCUCCUCAUUUCAUCAGAUUCAAUUCUUUCUCCUUUCAUCUCAAUUCUUCUCUGUUUUUUAUUUCUCUUUUGUAACAAUCAGAGGAGAAUGGUGGUGGUCUGACAAAUUGGACCUUAUUUCUUGUGUAUGUUUAUUGAAAUCAAUAUAUCUACUUGUGUGUUUCUUCCUCGCAGUGGUGGUGGUCUGAGAACCGGCGCUUCAUGUAGUUGGGACCUCGAGAAGAUAUGUAAUUGGUUCGCGGUGAAGGGUCUGGUGAGAAGUUCGAGUGCCAAGCUGAGGUUCGUUUCUACUAAAGUUUUGAUUUUUAGUCAUGGGAACUUGAUUUGAAUGUGAAAGUUUGAGACUUUAUCACUGGCAGGUGAGCAGAUUGUUGGAUUUGAUAGUUCAUAGCUUAUAUAGUCACAAGAAUUGAUUGAAUGUGUAUUUUGUAUAUGUUUACAGUAAUGCAAGUGAUGCUUUGAUAAGCUGAGGUUCUUGAGUGUGACAGAGCCUGCUUUGCUUGGAGAUGGUGGUGACAAAGGAAGAACUUAUAGACUGUAUGUCUUGGAACCAUUGCUCAGAGUGGUACUUCCAAAUUCUCGAACGCUCUUAAGGUUUCAUUUUGUAUUCAUGAUUGCUGUUUGUUGUAAUUGUAGAUGCUUUAGCUGUUAACUCUGAUGGUCGUUACUUGACGACUAGAGGAGUUGAUCGCCAUGUUCAUAAGAUCCAAUUUGUCUCAGCUUUUAUGAUUAUGUGUCUACAGGCAUUUACAGGUCACAGGAACACUGUUUUUUCCCUAUGUUUCAGACACAGAACUGCAGAGCUCUACUCUGGUUCAUUUGAUCGAAGUGUCAAGGCGUGCACUUACGGUUGGGAGAGAUAGAAUCAUGCAACUACACAAGGAAGGUAGACAAGGCAGAGAAGCUUGAUGGAGGAGAAGGUGGCAAAAGGGGUGAGUCAUUAGUGGCGAGGACAUUAGGUGUUUAGAGUGGAGAAGGUCCAAGCUCCGGUAUGUGACUAGAAGACGGUGACGUUGGAGAUAGAACUUUGGGUUUAGAAUUUUAGGUGUAGGUUUAAUUGUUUUUAAAAAAAAUAGUUAAGUUUGAUAUACCUGUCAUAACUAUGUAACCAAUUUCAAUAUAUAAAAAAAUUAAUAUAAAUUUGUAUUUUUAUAUUUUAUAUUUUUUUAAUUUUUAAUAAUGCCAAUUAUUGUAUGAAUAAUCUUUGUAUGUUCUUGAAUUCUCAAUGUAUUGAAUAAAAUUUUUAUGUCAUUUUUAUGUUAUCUAUUCUUAAUGUAUUGAAUAAAUUUUUUAAGAAAAUUAUAAAAGAUUAUUAUAUUUUAUUCAUGUAUUGUUAAUUAAUUGAAAGUUUAAAAAAAUAUAAAUAAUAAUAUUUUAUUUCUAUGAAUCUUUGCUUGAGAUUUACUAAGGCAAGAACACAAUAAAUAGAGGUUCAAUACUAUUUAUGGUCCCACCAAAAAAAUAUUAAAAAAAAUUUAUGAAUCCAAAGAGGGAGUUCACUAAUCAGAAUGCUCUUAGUGUUCUCAGAAAUAAAAAGUGUUGCGCAUAAGCGUCUCAUAUACUUUUUUUAAACACUAUAUUCAUUCAAACAUAGAGGGAUACAAACUAGGUCUUUUUAAACACUAUAUUCAUUCAAACAUAGAGGGAUACUUUUUUUAAACACUCUAGAAAGGAGAUGGCUUUGAACCUCAAAACACGAUCGAAUUAAUGAAACACCGCCAAAAGCAAAGAUCUACACACAGAGAACUAAACAAAGGAUAAAAAGAGAAUCAGCUCCGGUGACCGGAGCCGACUGACGUUGAAACCAGAAAAAAAAUAUCAGAAGUUAGAGAGAAGACAGAGCAGUUAAGCCUCUCAUAUACACUCGCGAUAAAAUCCAUAAGAUGAUCAGUGUAUUAGUUUAUCGAUAUAAUUUGUUUCUUACUUUAUAUGGAAUUAUUUAGAAAAUUGGCGGGCAUAUAAAAUAUUAUCGUAAACAUCUUUGUUUAUGGUAUAUGUAAAAUGUUUAACUUUUCGGUCACAUAUGUGUCUAAAACUCCAGGGUUAAGAGUGCUUGAACUGAAAGGAUUGGUGACCUAGCUGAAAAUAAUUUGUGGUAUCAUGUUUGGUAGGAUCAUGCCCUGGAGGUUUCAGGAGCUCCAACGAAAAGAACAUAUCCCAAACCUGAGGAAGCUUCUUUCUGAAGUCAAUGUCUAAAGUAUUCUUGCAGACAAUCUUUCCACCACACCUCCCCAUCUUCACCAUUCAGACACACAAUCAAAUUUUUGGUAUAUAUAAAUGUUCCGUGAACAUACAAGAAACAGAGAUAAAUACGAUGGAAGAGCUAAGUUUAUCAGUGAAGGUCGUGGGAAUCAGGGAGCUUAGGAUUAGGAGGUGGAGGGAGGAACACUUUCUCGUCGAUGGUUAUAUUAGGCGACGCGACUUUGGCUUUCUCUGCAUAAUGCUUCUUAGCAUCCUCUAUGAUUGAUUCAACAACUUUAUUGUCCAUCUCUCUGCAUCCAGCAGCACUGAUGGCUCUUUCAGCCGCAACAAACUCUAUAUACAAGAUACAGUGGUAACUGUAAGGACACUAUGUCAACAAAGAUAAUAAAUAUAAAUAGAUAGAUAGAUACCUCAGUGAUGAGACUCUGGAGAGCUUUUUGUAGGCGUUCUUGUUGUUGGAGACACGAAGGAGAUCCUUAGCCAAAGAGUCGGUGACAAUGUCAUCUUGUGAUUGAAGGUGGUUGGUUAAUUCUACUUGCAUUCAGCUGCGUCGAGUAGUCUCUGAAGACACAGACACAAAUGGAAUCAGUGUGAAGCCCUGGCAAAAGGAUGCAAGUGAUAAACAAAAGGAAGCUCACAUGCGCUUGCGGAGAUUGAGAUCUCGUUUGCUUUCUCUUCAGCCUCUUGCCGGAUGAACCGAACCAUCUGUUGUAUCUGCUUUGACACAUCUCUCUCUCUCUCUCACACACACACAAAGAUACAAAAAAACAAUCAUCAACCUCCUCCUCACGCUCUCUUUGGUUUACGCUCGAUGAGAGAAGCAGCUAGUCCCCGCUUUUUGGUGCCAAAACUUUGUUUGUGUGGACCAUCGACUCUUCCUUUCUUCAUAUCAAAACACCACUAUUUUUGGAUUCACAUUGUUAUAUGAAUUGAAUAUAGUUUGCGACACCAACAUCCAUCAGUUUGUUCAUUAUGCAUUUGAUUAUUUUCAUUUGAAACUAUAAUAGUGUAUAUGUAUGUGUGUAUGUGCGCUUUCAUGAUGGUGUUUUUCAAAAAUUUAGAAUGUGUAACCUACUUGGUUUAAGGUACUUGUUUCUGAUUAUUGAAAGAGAGUUCUACAAAUACACCAGGUUCAAGGCAAAGACAUGUCUUAGAUAACUGCAGAAAGGAGUAAACGUUACAGAUACUUGUUUGUGUUUAGUAAGACAAUAAAAAACUGCAACUGUCGGAAACAGAAAAUACAGUUUGGUUCAUCUCUCGAAGUUGUAUAAAGCUUCAAGAUCUGGAGAGGAUACCACGAAAUAGGUAGUA